CCGGCGACCGGCGCACGGGUGAGUAACACGUAUGCGACCUGCCCCCCGCAGGGGGAUAACCGGGAGAAAUCCCGACUAAUACCGCGUAACGCCGCGGACCUGCAUGGGUCUGCGGCCAAAGGAAGCGAUUCCGGCGGGGGAUGGGCAUGCGGCGCAUUAGCUAGUCGGCGGGGUAACGGCCCACCGAGGCGACGAUGCGUAGAGGUUCUGAGAGGAAGGUCCCCCACACUGGUACUGAGACACGGACCAGACUCCUACGGAAGGCAGCAG
rnacentral:rRNA from 1 species